rnacentral:rRNA from 1 species
GAUGAACGCUAGCUACAGGCUUAACACAUGCAAGUCGAGGGGAAACGACAUCGAAAGCUUGCUUUUGAUGGGCGUCGACCGGCGCACGGGUGAGUAACGCGUAUCCAACCUGCCCACCACUUGGGGAUAACCUUGCGAAAGUAAGACUAAUACCCAAUGAUAUCUCUAGAAGACAUCUGAAAGAGAUUAAAGAUUUAUCGGUGAUGGAUGGGGAUGCGUCUGAUUAGCUUGUUGGCGGGGUAACGGCCCACCAAGGCAACGAUCAGUAGGGGUUCUGAGAGGAAGGUCCCCCACAUUGGAACUGAGACACGGUCCAAACUCCUACGGGAGGCAGCAGUGAGGAAUAUUGGUCAAUGGACGAGAGUCUGAACCAGCCAAGUAGCGUGCAGGAAGGCGGCCCUAUGGGUUGUAAACUGCUUUUAUAAGGGAAUAAAGUGAGUCUCGUGAGACUUUUUGCAUGUACCUUAUGAAUAAGGACCGGCUAAUUCCGUG